CAGGAAUAAAACUAAUUAUAAGUCUUCUUUAGGUAUGGGGAUUGGUGUUGCAAGUGAUGACCGAAGGCAAAUUGCUCCUAACAUAACCCAUGUCCCUCCUCCUUCAGUCAAAAAACUUGUUGAAACCCAUCAGUCUAGAUUCAACUGAUCACUGUAGAUAAGUGUCUGGCACUUAAAACAAAGUGCUCUGGUUAGGUGGAGCUCAUAAUCCCUGAAAAGCAGUCCACCUAGGAGAAGGAACUCUGAUUACAAACCCCCGGAUCCCAAUAGUGAGUCAGGCUGUCCAUAUUGUAUUCAUUGAUCUUCGGUGCACAGCAAUACACUUUUCAGGACUGAAGUAAGGAGCAAGGAGUAAUUUUAAAGAAUAAAAAUAUCAAUGUCAAUACCAAAUGUUGUGCUUGAAUAUCCAAUGCACUUAAUAACUUGUCUUUUAUAAAAUGAAAUAUUACUGUUCAUAAAGAUUAACCCAUUAACAUGAUAAAGGC